UCCCUGGUGGCUCAGAUGGUAAAAGUAUCUGCCUACAAUGCAGAGACCUGGGUUCGAUUCCUGGAUUGGGAA
rnacentral:tRNA from 1 species